rnacentral:rRNA from 1 species
CUCGUAGGCGGUCCAUCGCGUCGGGAGUGAAAAGCUGGGGCUUAACCCCAGUCCUGCUUCCGAUACGGGUGGACUAGAGGUAGGCAGGGGAGAACGGAAUUCCUGGUGUAGCGGUGAGAUGCGCAGAUAUCAGGAGGAACACCGGUGGCGAAGGCGGUUCUCUGGGCCUUACCUGACGCUGAGGAGCGAAAGCAUGGGGAGCAAACA